UGGUAAAAAGAGAUUAUCACCUCUGUCUUUAGAUUUACAGUCUAAUGCCUACACUCGGCCAUUUUACC
rnacentral:tRNA from 1 species